CAAGUAAAACUGUGGGGAUGAAUAUGUAACAACACAUAUUAAUUCAAAGGUAAACAAUAGCACUCCAUUAAAACCACAACUGAGGUUAUGACAACCCUAUGCAAUGCCAAAAUAUUUGCAGAGAAGGUUCAAGUGAUUUUUAGAUGAAUCCUUAUAAUUCAGACUUGUCUAAAAUGUUAACAUUUUUAGAUGAGAUUUUUCACAAGCAAAUGUAGGACUCAAAAGCACAUAUUAAUUAUAUAACAAUGACAAUGAUUUCCUCAUGUGUUACCUAAGAUGUCAUCUUUUAAAGGUAUUAGGAUCAGUCAAAAUAGUAUUUUUCAUCUACUUAGAACCCCCUGUAUACUUAUAGUGGUGCUGAGAAUUAAAGCUCAUCCUUCAUAAUAUUUUUGUUCAAAAUAAACCACUUUUUGUCAUUUGUUACCCUUCUUCUCAAGCUAAGCUGAGGUGGAACAGCUGGGCACUGCCCUGCAGCUGGACCUCCAGGUCAGCAGAGAAAGCACACAGUGGUGAUUCUUCUCAACCAUAAUUAACAGCAGAAAAGUACAGCCUCUGGCACUUUGUAAACUUAAAUGUAGCAAUUCACUGCAAAUAUUGCUGGCAAAUAAACAAUUACUAUGUCAGAGUCAAGAAACACAAAGUGCAAAAAGACUGCUGAAAGACUUGGCACAAACCCAAGCUAAAUCUUUAACAGGGAACAACAGGAGUAUCUCAACAGAUUUAUUAAUAUUGUACCUUCUUAAGCAUUUCAUUCAUCUACAUAGAGGUUCAGGAAGCAGAGCGGGAAAGAGAGGAAAAAUAAAUAAAGAAACAAAAACGGUAUCAUAAAAUUAAAAGUAUGCUUAGCAUCCUAAAACAGUACAUAAGCAUUUCAAAUUUAACUACAGGCCAGGAAUAGAAAGAAAGAAUGGCAAAUUAAUUAGUUUGUCAUCAAAAACUGAGUAUCAAAUUGCAUCUAUGCAAGAAAUUCAGAACAUUUGCUCUUUAUUUAAAGAUAUCAAGAUUCAAAACAUAUACUGCAUAAUAUUUUACAAUAAUUUCACCCCUUAUUUGAAUUUCUAUGAUUUUUAUUUUGAAACAGUAUUAGAGGCAGGUCUUUCUAGAAACAGAGAUAUGUUACCUUACAAAUUCAGCACUUUUUUUUUCCCAGCAAGUAAUUACUACAUGUGAAGAUUAAGACUUUGAAACACUUCAAUAAAUUGUUAUCUAUUAAAGGUACUUCAAGGCUGUUAA